rnacentral:rRNA from 1 species
GACGUAGGUGGCGAACGUUAUCCGGAAUUAUUGGGCGUAAAGGGUGCGUAGGUGGCCUGACAAGUUAUCAGUGGCAAAUCGAGGCUCAACCUCGUGGAAACUGGUAAUACUGUUCGGCUUGAGUACAGGAGAGGUUAACGGAACUCUAUGUGGAGCGGUAAAAUGCACAGAUAUAUAGAAGAACAUCAAUAAAGGCGAAAGCAGUUAACUAUUCUGUUACUGACGCUGAGGCACGAAAGCGUGGGGAGCAAAACGG